GGGCAAACCAUAGAUAUCUUAUAUACACUAGAUAGCGCAUCUCUUUUAGUAAAAUUGAAGCCAACAAUAUUCCAGCGGUUACCCCCAUUUGAAUAGAUGGCGGCCAUGUUGGUCGUUCCCACUUGCUAAUAAACGCUUAAAAACAACAAUAAUUUUCAUCAUUUGAAUAUUUUAAAAACGAAUUUGGAAUAGGGUUAACUUAAUGUUUAAGUUCCCUGUUUAAGAAAUAGAAAAUAUACGAAUCUUCUAAUUUCAUGGGAACGACCUGAGACUGCAAUCACGGCUUCAAUUUUUGAACUUCAGAAUAAUUAGAUGCACUAUCUAGUGUAUAUAAGAUAUCUAUGGGCCAAACUCAU